AGUGUGACCAUGUGAAGACAUUUUGAGGAUUAGCUAAAGAGGAGUAAGAAAGAAGAUGGAGCUGGAAACGAAAGACUUCGGAAUGACCUGGAUUAUUACUACAUACCUCUGCUUUGACAAGAAGCUGAUAAAUGGUGCUUACAGAGAAGUCCAGCUGACCUUUCAGAAAUCACUGCUGCCACAGAAGAGGAAAGCUAGGAUUAUUGGGAAGCUCAUGAAUGAUCAUAUGGAAUGUUGCAUCAAAGUGCCUGACUCAUUGUGUUGACUGGAAUUUUGGUUAUUUAGAAGUUUCACUUGUAAAGUGACCUUAAAGAUUUUGUAGAAGUCACUCAGUUCAAAUAUACUCAGUACCGUCUUGGUAGAAAAACUUUGAAAAUUGAUUCUCAAUAUGAAGUGAAGGGUAUGUAUCUGUAAACAAUAAUAACUUACUGUUGAUGUAACUUACCAAUGCAUUUAUCCCAUCAUCAACUGUAAUAAUUACUCCAAAGUGAUCAUUGCUAUUUUCAUAUACCUGCAAAAGGUUAAUGUGAUGAUUAAGUGUAAAAUAUUUAAAAUGCCUCGUGGAAUAUUAAAUUACAUUGGUCACUAAUUUUCUGUACAUUUUCUUGUUGCUUUGGUUCAGCUGUUAAUCCUGUUAAAUUGCAAACAGAA